CAGUAAAAGACAGGUAGUCAGGUUGGACAGAUGACUAAUAUAACCAGCUAGUGACAGUAAAAGACAGGUAGUCAGGUUGGACAGAUGACUAAUAUAACCCGCUAGUGACAGUAAAAGACAUGCAGUCAGGUUGGGCAGAGGACUAAUAUAACCAGCUAGUGACAGUAAAAGACAGGUAGUCAGGUUGGACAGGUGACUAAUAUAACCAGCUAGUGACAGUAAAAGACAGGUAGUCAGGUUGGACAGAUGACUAAUAUAACCAGCUAGUGACAGUAAAAGACAGGUAGUCAGGUUGGACAGAUGACUAAUAUAACCCGCUAGUGACAGUAAAAGACAUGCAGUCAGGUUGGGCAGAGGACUAAUAUAACCAGCUAGUGACAGUAAAAGACAGGCAGUCAGGUUGGACAGAUGACUAAUAUAACCAGCUAGUGACAGUAAAAGACAUGCAGUCAGGUUGGACAGAUGACUAAUAUAACCAGCUAGUGACAGUAAAAGACAGGCAGUCAGGUUGGACAGAUGACUAAUAUAACCAGCUAGUGACAGUAAAAGACAUGCAGUCAGGUUGGGCAGAGGACUAAUAUAACCAGCUAGUGACAGUAAAAGACAGGCAGGUU